rnacentral:tRNA from 2 species
GGCCGCAUAGUUCAAGGGAUAGAACGGAAGUUUCCUAAACUUUAAAUACAGGUUCGAGUCCUGUUGUGGCUA